rnacentral:tRNA from 1 species
GACCCGGUAGCUCAGUUGGUAGAGCAAGCGGCUUUUAACCGCUAGGUCGUGGGUUCGAGCCCCACCCGGGUCA